GAAGAUAUAGCUCAAGAGGUAGAGAGCGCAUGCUUAGCAUGCAUGAGGUCCUGGAUUCAAUCCUCAGUAUCUCCU
rnacentral:tRNA from 1 species